AUGCAAGAGAAGAGAGCCAACGGUGGACUCUACGCCAUAGUCAGUGCCCCUUCUGCUGUCACUCAACUCCAGUGUAUGAAUCAGGAGACUGAGAUCACGGUCCCUUGGCCAGCACAUGGGGGAGCUGAAAGGUGUGGUUUUCUCCGAUGCUCUAUUGCUCUGACAGGAAAUGAAUAUUACAAAAGUCAAGAUGGAAUAUUACAAAGGUCAAGAGGAAAGGACAAGAAGAGAACGGACAGUCUACCUUCUGGGGACCUGAUAGUGUUCUAUGUCUUGACCGGGACAGUGGUUAUUCAGGUGGGAUUCUUGUUUCUCUGGAGUCAUCUGUGAGUGUUACUGAUCCCCACUCUGAAUCCCAAGCCAGUAGAGAAGCAUGAGUUUUCAGGAGGGUUUAUUCAUAUCCCGUCUAUAUAUUUUUGAUGGAAACCUGAUAUCUUGAUUCCAGAGCCAAGUGUCUUGUGAUCUGCCAUCAUCCAAAUGUGUUUUUAAGACCUCAUCUCAAUGGUGUUUUCUUCUGCUGCAAAUAGGGUGUUGUUGGUUUCUUUUCUGUUGUGGAAAAUGUCUUGUAUGCCAGUUUUCAAAAAUAAAAAUUCUAAAACUGUCCAUGGAACAUUCUAGGAGGACUCUCAAGAGUGGAGAAGUUCUUGUACAAGUAGUGUUUGUGUUAGCAUCUGGCCUGUGUUUAAAUGAUCACAUUAGGAAAGCAGCCUGUGGGAUUUCAGCUUAAUUACCUAUAACAUACACUAUUCAUGCAAAGAGGAAUGGGGGGAAGUGAGGGAAACUAAUAUUAAAAAUGAAUGCAAUGUAAUGUAUUGCUCCCCAUCCCCCAACCUUUUGGUACAAAGACAAGUAAAGCAAAGAGGUGCAAAUAUAUAAUUAUAUAUAAUUUAUCACUAUUUCUCAUCUGACCAUUUAAAAAUUUAUUCAAUACAUGUUGAUCGUCAAUGUGGUCAGUGUAUCUUAUUUAUGUUUCAUCAGGAAAACUAAAGGAGAAUCUUGUAUAUUUUCUCUUUGCAUUUAAAGACAUUUGUUCACUUUAAUAUUUAAAGAGUACAUAUGAAACAACAAAAUCCUUUUCUUCAUGUUUGAUGAUCAUCCAAAUCUUGAUAAAUAAUAAGCUUCCAAGAACUGUUGUGAGAUUUAUUUUAUUCUCCUUGGGCCUGGAAUCUACAUGAGAGAAAAAAAGGCUCAAAGCCAUGGGACAGGACUGAGACUGCCCUCUCUCCUGUCACCUGCACUCCCAUCUUCCUGCUGACUCUCUGGUUCACUGAUUCCCUAAGCACUCCUGGCCACUCCUGCCCUUCUCCUCAACCCAGGUGCUGUAAGCCCCAUCACCCCACCCUCGCACCAUGUAGUUCAUUUCUGUGCUCUCCUCCUUUGCUUUCUCUUUAACACUCAUGCCUCCUGCCUUUCCUGAGCCAUCCCAUAACUUAGGGCUGACUUUGGAAGGUGCUUGAGUCUCUAAAUACUCAGCAGACCCUACUUAUCCUUCCUUGUCAGUUCAAAUGGGUCCAGCCUACCCAGAGAGAUAUACCAUGUUAGCAGGUAACAGGGUGAGUAAAAUAUAGUUCUUGACCUAUGGAGCUUACAGUCUAAUGAGGGAGUUAGAAAUACACACACCCAACCAGAGUUCAAAGUAAUAAUGCAUAUAAUAAUAAGUUCAGAAAUGGGAAUCUUUUUAAAAGAGAAGCAUCCAAGGAAGAGUUCAAUUCUGACCAAGGAUGGAUGAGACUGGAAGGCUUUGUGGAGAAAGUGGCAUUAAGGAUGGGCCUCCACUAGAGGAGGGAGAGUGAGGAGGCCUCCAGCUAAUCAGAACAGUGCAGGGUGUUAGAGAUGUACCCAUCACCCAAGGCAGAGGGAGGGCAGUGGGAGAGUCAGAUUGCUGAGGGGAAGGACACAAUAGGAGAAGGAAAAAGUGAAAGGCAGCAUCUAGGAGACUGCUGAUGGUUAAGAAAGGCCAGUGAGGGGGCUUAGAGAAAACCAUCAGCGACUGAAGGAGAAUCAAGAGCUCAGUGGCCGGGAAGCUAAGGGAUGAAAGAAUUUCUAAAAGAAGGGAUGGCUAAUAAUAGUCAUGAGGAGAAUAACAACUAACAUUUGUGGACUCUUUACCAUGCGCCAGGAAUUGUAUGAAAACUCAAGUUAGGACUUGUAUCCAGGUCCAACUGAUGCCAAUACUCUUAACUCUACAAAUGCUGAAUCGAAUGGAGAUAUAAAGCACGCCGUUGACUGUGGUGAUGGGGAAACUGCAGUAGAACAGUUGGGACAGGUUGCAAUCGAAGAAAGUAAAGGUGUCAGAUUUAGCAUUUCUUCUCAAAAGUUUGGCAGUAAAACUUUAGAAAUGGGGCAGUAACUUAAGAAAAUGGGAAGGAUUUUUUUUUUUUCUUUUAAUGGGAGCUAUUUAGAAAUUACCUUGAAUAUGAGCUUGAAAAUGUGAGAGGAGAUUCCCAGGGAGAUGGGAGGAAGUGGGAUCAAGGACACAUGGAAAAAGAUUAUUGUGGAAAGAUUGCUUCCUGCCUCUGAGAUAAGAGAAGGGAGGACAGGGUGAGCAUUGAGCAGAUCUGCUGCCCGGAGUGGGGCAACUGAGGAAGUUGGCUGAGAACGGCCUCCAUCUUACUACAGCGGUGCUGAUGAAAUGAGCCGGGAACUCUGCAAAUAGAAAAUAGCUUGGCCACUGUAGAUCAUGUGCUCGAAAAAGAUGAUCUGUAAAAAGUCACAAAUGUCCCCUUGGAAUGCCUAAGGAGUAUAUUUGGGACAGAGAAUGCAUAGCAGGCAAACACCACCACCAUGGGGUUAGAUGGAAAAUGUUUUUGAAAGUAAGGAAUCCCAAAGACAAAAAAAAAAAAAAUCAGAUUCACAUUCCAUUUGAGUGCCUAGACUUCUUCCCUUACUGGCUUUUUUGGCUAUGCAAACAAUAACCGAGUGGUUUGGGCAUCUGUAUACCAGAGGAUGAAUGGCAAAUGAAAAGUUACCUUGGCAGAAGACAAGGUUCUAAAUGCCAGUGUUGUAAUAAAAGGUCCUUUGUAGCAUAAGCUGCACAGUACGAAGGUUUGAAGUGGGAGUUUCUGAAUUGCCUGGGGAUCCAGCGAGGGACAGAGGAGAAUCCUUUCUCAUUGUCCUGACACAGCACUUGCCUUCCUAAUUGACUGUGGAGUGAAGUAGAGUGAGAAGAGUGUGACCCCGAGCCCCGAGAGACCAGGAUUAAAGUCUGAGUCCUCUCCUUACCAGUGCCUGGCUUUGGGCAAGUUACUUACUGUCUCUGAAUCCCAUCUAUACACUGGAGAUAACAACACCUGCCAUACAGAGCUGUCAGGAUGGGGUAAGGUCACCCAUCCGUUUUCUGCUCCUUUUCGCACCUGCCUGGAAAAUCUCAGAUUCUAAGUAAUGGAAAAGGAUAUAUUGAUUACAUCCAUCAGAGUUCUAUCAGGCCCCCUCUCAGAGAUUUAAGCAUCUCUUUUUUUAAUGGUAGAAAAUAUUUUUGUUAAGCAGAGGAAGAAAUGAUCAGGGCCAAGUCCAUUGAAAACCUGGGGAUUCCGUGGAGAUGCAGGCACCUGCCUGGGAUUCCCCUGGGAUUUCUUUUUGGUCUGCUAAUUACCAUGGCCAUCUCCAGAGCAUGUUCUCCUGAACAUCUGAAAGGAGAUUGGACAGAGAGGGGGAGCCUCUUGGAGAAGAGAAAAGGCAGGCACUCAUGAAAUCAAGGUUUCGUGUCUCUUCCCCCAGGGAGUGACAGAAUCGGGUGUGUGAGGCUUCCAUGGAACCAUCUGAGCCACUUGUCAUGAAUUUGUUUCCAGAAAGACAGGCCUAGUCUUAACAUAGGAGAGCCUCUUCUUCGGAGUGUGAAAAGUUUGGCAUAAACUAAGAAGAGAAGCACAACCUUUGUCAGAUUUCCCAGCCACAAAAUUCUCAACAUUGACAUUCCUGAGCUUUAUAGAAAUGUUGAGAAGUAACCUUUUUGCUAGAAGCACACACUACUUCAGCAGGAAAAUGGAAAGGAUCAGAGGAGACCUAUCCCAAGGCACUACCUUACAUCUGCCAACCCACCUGCCUUCCCUCCUGAGGCUGUGACAACGUGACUUUGCGCCUGCCUGUGGCCUGUGUCUCCACCAGGGCACUACAUCAUCCCUUCAGCCCCGUCUAAGGAUGUCUUCUCCAGCAAUUCCCCCAUCCCCUACACCUUCAAAUCUCCCCUCUCAACAGAAUCAUUCCCUCCAGUACACAAACAUGUUGUUAUGCUGAGCAACUUAAAAAUAAUCCACUUCCUCUUCUGGUUAUACUCUAUUUUUCUCUUUCCCUUUAGAGAAAAACCUCAGGGAAAUAGGCAUCUGCUGUUGCAACCUCCAGUUGCUUCUCUCUCCCUCUCUUCUGAACUCACUCAAGGCAUUAUUUGAGCCCCACUCCUCCCCUGACUUUGCUCAAGGCCACCAUUGAGCUACAAGCUGGCAAACUCUAAUGUUACCUCUUAGAUCUCAGCUUGAUUGACCUACAAGCAGCCUUUGACCAAGUCAGUCCCCCUUUCCUCCUGGAGAC
rnacentral:lncRNA from 1 species